rnacentral:rRNA from 1 species
CCUACGGGUGACAGCAGUGAGGAAUAUUGGUCAAUGGACGAGAGUCUGAACCAGCCAAGCAGCGUGAAGGAUGACUGCCCUAUGGGUUGUAAACUUCUUUUAUACAGGAAUAAAAUGAGGCACGUGUGCCUUUCUGCAUGUACUUUAUGAAUAAGGAUCGGCUAACUCCGUGCCAGCAGCCGCGGUAAUACGGAGGAUCCGAGCGUUAUCCGGAUUUAUUGGGUUUAAAGGGAGCGUAGAUGGGUUGUUAAGUCAGUUGUGAAAGUUUGCGGCUCAACCGUAAAAUUGCCAUUGAUACUGGCAGGCUUGAGUACAGUUGAGGUAGGCGGAAUGCGUGGUGUAGCGGUGAAAUGCUUAGAGAUCACAAAGAACCCCGAUUGCGAAGGCAGCUUACUAAGCUGUGACUGACAUUGAUGCUCGAAAGUGUGGGUAUCAAACAGGAUUAGAUACCCGGGUAGUC